rnacentral:rRNA from 1 species
GCAUAUCAAUAAGCGGAGGAAAAGAAACUAACAAGGAUUCCCUUAGUAACGGCGAGUGAAGAGGGAAGAGCUCAAAUUUUAAAUCUAUCAUGUUUGUACAUGAUCGAGUUGUAAUUUGAAGAAGCGUUUUCUCGUACUUUAUGCAAUCAGUAUAAGUUCUCUUGGAACAGGACAUCAUAGAGGGUGAUAAUCCCGUCUGUUACUGGUUGUGAGGUUCGUUAUGAUACGCUUUCAAAGAGUCGAGUUGUUUGGGAUUGCAGCUCCAAAUGGGUGGUAAACAUCACCUAAGGCUAAAUAUUUGCGAGAGACCGAUAGCGAACAAGUACCGUGAGGGAAAGAUGAAAAGAACUUUGAAAAGAGAGUUAAAAAGUAUGUGAAAUUGUUGAAAGGGAAACGAUUGAAGUCAGUCGUGCAGUCAUCAAUUCAGCGGUUAACAUUUAUGUUUCCGUGUAAUUUGGUGUCUGUUGGUUAGCAUCAAUUUUGAUUGUUAUAAAAAGGUUAAGGGGAUGUGGCUCCUUCGGGAGUGUUAUAACCCUUAGCGUAAUGUAACGAUUAGGAUUGAGGUUUGCAACGAAUACCUUUUAGGGCAGUUUCACCUGGCCUCUCGUGGAAUUAUAGAUAGUUAAGAGCAUGCUCUUACUGUCUAUGAUUCUACGAAAAGGUUGGAGUGUAAAACUAAUUCGUUAAGGAUGUUGACGUA